rnacentral:lncRNA from 1 species
AUGGAGGAGUUGGAGGGAGGGAGGAGGCUGUGCUUUGGUGACAUUUAUGAAAGAACCAUAACACCUAGUACAAUAGUAAACACAUUGGAUGAAAGAGGACAGCGAUGGCUACGUUUUGAGGGUAAAAUCAUACCUGUAGAGCAAGCGCUGCGGACACAGCAGCAGUUUUAAAAAAUAUUUUAAGAUUAAUUUUUUCGCUCCUCUCACUCUAGCAGUUCAGCUGUCUCACUCUAGCCCCAACAUUCCGUCCCAUACACACCCAUUAUAAACUCUGAAACGGCUGAAAAAACAUCAUGAAACUUAAACUGGAACUGAAGAAAAAGUAUAACAGAUAUUGAAAAGAUAAAUACAAGUUGAAUAGUUGAAUGUCUUGUCUUCGUUUUAAAGUUUGAAUGGUAGCUCUAUGUCAACGUAUGUUGAAGUAGAUACAGUUUGAAAAUGAGUAAGUUGAAUGAGGAUUUGAAGGGUCUCCCCAUUGAAAUACAUGGGAAAUUUUUGUUGAAAAAGUUGAAUAAUUUUAAAAUAUAAAUGUUAUAAAUGAGAAAAGUAGAAGCAGUCAUGUCCAAAAGAAGAGGAAUCUAAUGGUGUUUGAAUGGUUUUUCUAAGUUGAACGGUUUUGAAGGAGAUAGAUGCCAAAAACGUACGGAAUAUGAUAUAAUAAUAAUAAUAAAGAUUAGAAGAACAAUACUGUGAAUGCUUUUACAAGCAUUCACACUAAUAAUAAAGAUUAGAAGAACAAUACUGUGAAUGCUUUUACAAGCAUUCACACUAACUAGAAAGUGCAUUUUCUGAAGAAACUGCAGUGUGAAUGCUUGAAUCUGAAUGUAUGCACUGAAAUGAAUUAAUUGCUGAAUUUUAAGUUAAAAAUAAAAAUGUUGAAUGAGAUGGAAAAUACAGAGUUUUUAACCUGAAAACAAAAGUGCAGAACUUUUGAAAGCUGAUGUUCACACAGAAGAAGUUGGAAAAUAGCUGAAAAGUUUUUAAAUUAAAAUUUGGAAAACCUAAGAAAUGAGAACAGAAAAUUUAGAGUCAGAAAACAUCUGAAUGAAUAUUAAAAGUUCAUAUUCUUUGAAUCACUGAAUGACUAAAGUGUAAUCCCUCCACUUGGAUCCACACACUUUUAAAGGUUUACAUCUCUGAGCUUUGAAAGACAUGCUGUUGGAAAGAGAACAACGAUGGCUUCGUUUUGAGGGUAAAAUGAUGGCUGUAGAGCAAACACUGUGGACACAGCAGCAGUUGAAAGAGAAGUGUUUAAGAUGAAUAUUGGCAGAGUGAGAGAGAGCUCGUUAGGCAGGCAGGCAGGUGUGAGCCUGGUUGCUAUAGUGACUGCACCCACUGGCUCCAUACACACGCGCACAGACAUGCACCUCACUUUUGCUGCUUAAAAUGAACAGAAAAGUCAGGUCGAAACAAAUUGCUCCCAAAUGAAAAGUACAGGUCCUAUUGACAAAAUUC